UGGGCCAAUGAUGACCACUGGUGGCGUAUGCAUCGUGCAUGAUGAAUAUGUGUCUGGAACUCUGAGGUCCAA
ensembl:snoRNA